rnacentral:rRNA from 1 species
AUUGAACGCUGGCGGCAUGCCUUACACAUGCAAGUCGAACGGCAGCACGGGAGCAAUCCUGGUGGCGAGUGGCGAACGGGUGAGUAAAGUAUCGGAACGUGCCCAGUCGUGGGGGAUAACGUAGCGAAAGUUACGCUAAUACCGCAUACGAUCUAUGGAUGAAAGCGGGGGAUCGCAAGACCUCGCGCGAUUGGAGCGGCCGAUAUCAGAUUAGGUAGUUGGUGGGGUAAAGGCUCACCAAGCCGACGAUCUGUAGCUGGUCUGAGAGGACGACCAGCCACACUGGGACUGAGACACGGCCCAGACUCCUACGGGAGGCAGCAGUGGGGAAUUUUGGACAAUGGGCGAAAGCCUGAUCCAGCCAUGCCGCGUGCAGGAUGAAGGCCUUCGGGUUGUAAAUUGCUUUUGUACGGAACGAAAAGGUUUGGCCUAAUAAGCUGAGCUCAUGACGGUACCGUAAGAAUAAGCACCGGCUAACUACGUGCCAGCAGCCACCGUAA